rnacentral:lncRNA from 1 species
UUGGUUCCUGGAGAAGCUGCAUGCCGGGAAACUAACCACUGGCCAAGUUCAAGCACUGAGGGGAACAGGAAGCCUGUCUCUUCAGCCUGGAGAGAGGACUUUUGGGGCAUAGGAGGAGGUGCGCCGGGGUCAGGCCCCGCCUAUAGCCAAGGGAGAGAGCUGAAGGGAAGGUCUCCGUCCUCACCCCCACCUGCAUCCAGAGACAAACUUCAGGUAAGCCCUCCUGGGCUGGGGCCCUCUUGUAAGAUGAAAGUCUCCCUGGGAGAGGUGGGGCACUGUGAUCAAAACCUCAGCAUGAAUGAUUUUUUAUAUCACCCUGUGUAAGAGUGCAGGGGAGCAGAGACCCUGGGGGCAAGGGGCCCCAUUCCUGGCACCCGCCCAAAUGACCUCCAACUGGAAAACUGCCCUCUAAUUAGCAAUCAGGAAAUGAAGGUAUAGCACAGCGCCAAGGAGCACGACCCCGGCUGUAGCCUGGUGACAUUCCAGCCCUUGAGAUAGCAUGCCCCUGCCCCCGCACCGCAGGGCUGCAGACUCUGUGGGUUAUUUUUAUCUAAGGGCGCUAUUGUUGGUUGUGUGGUAGCUGCUGUGGUGGGUCCCAGCAGCGGUGAGCUUGCAGCCAGGAUUUCCUGUGCAG